GUGUCAGCCGCCGCGGUAAUACGUAGGUGGCGAGCGUUGUCCGGAAUUACUGGGCGUAAAGGGUGCGUAGGCGGUCCAUUAAGUCUGAUUUGAAAUACCAUGGCUUAACCAUGGGGGGCGAUUGGAAACUGGUGGAUUUGAGCAUAGGAGAGGAAGGUGGAAUUCCAUGUGUAGCGGUGAAAUGCGUAGAGAUAUGGAGGAACACCAGUGGCGAAGGCGGCCUUCUGGCCUAUAGCUGAC
rnacentral:rRNA from 1 species